UUUUUUUUUUUUUUUUUUUUGCAAAAAGUUAAAUCAACUGAACCACCCUCCAGGAAAUGGGGAGCUACUCAGAAUGGAAACUGCUCCUUAAGGGUGAGGCAGCCCAAAGCAUUCUCUUGUCUCCCACUGAUGGGAUGUUCCUUUAGCAUCUCAGGUCAGUUUCUUACACGGGGGAAAAAUAAGCUUAGCUUGUCACAAACGCUAUGGAGAAAAUGGCUUGAUUAGUGAAUUCUUAAUACAAAUGUCUCCUUGGAAAGAAUAGAGGGCACACUGCUAAGCAUUCCAAAAAUCAAGCCCCUGGCAUGCCUCAUCACUUCUUGUUUCAGGUCAGCAUUCUGGUGGGUAGAUAGUGGUGGCUGUUUGUCAGAACUGAACACAGCCUGCUCCAUCUGUUCUCUUCGCAAGGAUGCUGAUGCUGAGGCACACUGAAGCCCCUGAACACAUCUUUCUUGAUGCCUCGUUUCUUCCUAUGGCUUUCAGAAGGGCUGCAUGUUCUUCUCAUCGCUGUUUUUAUUUGGGGGCACUUGCCCUUUUCUGGCCCUUUUAGAAAUAGGGUCUCCCUCUCUGUGUGGUACCACUGGCUAAGGAAACCGUACUUGGGAGGCCUCAUUUGUAAUCAGCUAUGCCUGGGCACUGCACACGUCCAUUUGCCUUAAACUUGUGGGAAGUCUCGGGUUGCCCAGCUUACAGAGUGAAGUUCAGCUCCCACAUCCAUCCGGAAGUAGGGGAAAAGAGGAAGCGCGUCCAACCUUCCUAUCUGCACUUCCUGUUGGUGCCUUCAGGCCACAGCAGCAGUAGCAGCUAUAGGCAAAGAGCAGCACCGUCUCUGGGACGGGCAUCCGCAAGUCUUAGCUGUUAGAGGGAUGGGAGAGACCAUUCCUGACUUCCCACUGUUUGUCACCCGACCCUCCAUUAACUCCCUUGAAUGAACCUGUGCAAAUGGACCAAGCAAAAGAAAAUGGAAGGAGAUGUUUGCAGCCACAUGGGAGACCACAUUGCUGGCCCCAAGCACAACUCCAGCUCUGUGUAUGUGCAAAACCUUGGCACUUGGCUACUGCUUAGAGUUCAAUCCAUUCUUUAUAGCAUGUGACUGAGUAAGGUCCGGGGAUGAUGAGUCUUUUGGACCCAGGAGAGAAUCUCAACAGAGGGAUUUGUGCUUGGGAGUAGAAGUAGGCAUUCCUCCACAGAGAGUGGCAUUGCCUUUAUUUUUCAUUUGGCAGAGACCAAGAAUUGGGGGGUAGGGGUUGAUUUCCAGUCUUUGAUGUCGCCUGGGAUGUCCUCUGCAGGCAGGUGGUGCUGAGACCACAGCAUCGUGUUCCAGUGCAGUGUAGGUGCAUUGCCAUUCAGACUCAGUUCUGGGGUGGUUUUGCAUAAAGCUUUGCCAAUGUGUUCUUUCUUUCUGUAUGUAUUAUUGCCUUUUUAUAAAAGGUUUUGAAGUAUUGUCUCAGUGAUAAAAAGAGAGAGAUGUUAAUGGUUGUUGUAUAUUUCACCGUAUCCGAUUGUAAGUAUUCGCAGGGUACAGCAAAGCCUUAGCUUGCAAGAGGAGCUGAAGGGGUUGGAAAGGUUCGGAUUCUUUGUAAAUGUCCUGCUUUUCUUUCUCUCUGUGUGUAUCUAUUUACAUGCCUUAGCACAUGCCCUCCCAUCCCAACCCCUUUGCCCUGUCACCUGAACAACCACAAGGGUGGUGGCAAGCCAGCACAGUACAAGUCGAAACCCUAAUCAGUUAUCUCGUGUGACAGGGGGAGAAGAGAAACUGCAUAGUAUUCUUUGUAGAAUAUACAUACCUGUAGGAUGCUGUGUAAUGGGAAACCAUAGACUUGGGCUUUUGUCAUUUCAAAGUUGGAGAAAUGUAUGAAUAAAAUGUAUAAAACAUG
rnacentral:lncRNA from 1 species